rnacentral:rRNA from 1 species
UACGUAGGGGGCUAGCGUUGUCCGGAAUCAUUGGGCGUAAAGCGCGUGUAGGCGGUUCGGUAAGUCCGCUGUGAAAGUCGGGGGCUCAACCCUCGAAUGCCGGUGGAUACUGUCGGACUAGAGUACGGAAGAGGCGAGUGGAAUUCCUGGUGUAGCGGUGAAAUGCGCAGAUAUCAGGAGGAACACCGGUGGCGAAGGCGGGUCUCUGGGCCGAAAUUGACGCUGAGGAGCGAAAGCGUGGGGAGCAAACAGG